rnacentral:rRNA from 1 species
AUACGGAGGGGGCUAGCGUUGUUCGGAAUUACUGGGCGUAAAGCGCACGUAGGCGGUUAUUCAAGUCAGUGGUGAAAGCCCGGAGCUCAACUCCGGAAUUGCCUUUGAAACUAGAUAGCUUGAACACGGGAGAGGUGAGUGGAAUUCCGAGUGUAGAGGUGAAAUUCGUAGAUAUUCGGAAGAACACCAGUGGCGAAGGCGGCUCACUGGACCGUUGUUGACGCUGAGGUGCGAAAGCGUGGGGAGC